UUCCGGCGGCCGCGUCACCGUUCCGGGAAGCGGGUGGCGUCACGCCGCCAUCCCUCCCGCCGUCCGUCCCGCGGCGCGGGGCGGGCCCCGGGGAACAAAGGCGCGAUAAAAAUAGAAGAAUUUGCAUCAGGGUUUGAACAUCUGAGCUGCUUGAACUGUGCUAUUGAUAAAGCAAUGGGAAAACAGAGUCUGGAGUGAGGCAAAGGCAAAUUUCUCACUAAGGGAAGAUCAAACCACUUAAUACUAGGAUUUACGACUGAUUCUCUGGAAUUUUUAUCAGUAUUAACUGGGAGCUCUAUUUACUAUGCCGAUAAAAAUAAGUAGUACAAAUAGAGCUCAGGUUAAAGAAAAUAUUUGAAUAGAAGAUAGCAGACGUGAAAAAUACAUGUCUGGAUGGCAAAGCACUGGAAUGCGAUCCUGGGUUGACAUUACAGCUUCAUGGGAGUUAAUAGACCUAUCCCAAUUCACAUGUAAGGUUCGGAAACAAAAUAAUGAAGUUGAGGCUCGGAGAAAAAGGGAGAACCGCGGGUGGGACAUUGAGAACGCAGUGAGGAAGCCUGUUGGUUGUAUGAAAAAUGCACGGCGGAGAUUAAAGCAGUUCUCCCGCCACCGGGAUGUUUCUUCUGUGUCUCUGUGUGUCUGGUAGCUGGCUCAUGGAUGUUAGCCGAGAGGGCAGCUCGUCCCCGGCGGUUUGAAGACGCAGUUAAGCGGAGCAGCCGCUGGAUGUCUCUCCUGCACAGCGCCCAGGGACACGGAGCGGCCUCUCGGGGUGACCAGCCAACAUCUGGGGAACGGCAACAUCUGGGGAACGGCAACAUCUGGGGAACGGCAACGCGUCCGUGUGGGAGGCCAGCUGCUCGCUGCUGCCUGGGGAGAUGCGACACAGCUCUCAGCACAAGAGAUUGUGAGGCAUCAGCAAGAUCCACAGAUGAGAAAUGCAUUUUGCUUCCAUUACGGGAGCGCUUUUUUUCCCCGCCCCGUUCUUCUCGGUCGUGCUCUGUGCCAGGGUGCUAAACCCGCUGCCAAUAACUGAAGAUUAUUUGAAAAAAUAAGUUAAAACUUGUAACGCCUUUCUCAAUAGUUACCAUAUGUAAGCAAGUACUCUGUUAGGCUGGAUAGAAGAAAUGCAGCAGACAGGGUAAGAACUUGCUAUUCACAGAGUUCCUCCUUUGGCUCCUGUGGUGUAAAGCUACAUGUACCUCCUGCUACAUGGAAAAAAUUGCAAAAGAAUUAAAAUUCAAGAAGCCUGGAUUUAUUUGAAUUGACACCAACAGAGAUCUGGGAUGAUUCCAUUAACAGCACUGCAGUCGUGCUGUUUCUAAAAGGAUAUCUAAAGUACCAUGAGGAAUUUACACACGCUGCCUCUGACAGACCUUGCAAUAAAAUGAGCUACAGUAUUGUAGAAUAAUGGUUUGUGACUAUUUUCUUAUGUAUGAAAGCUUCCCAUAAAUACAUAUUACUUGGAUCAACGUGGGGUAAACCGUACUCACUUCAGCUGGAAGAUGAAACACCACAGAGUUAUGCCUCUUUGGAGUGAGGAAAGUGAAGCUGGAAUUCCAUAAAGCAGCAUUCUUGAUACUACAGCCAUCCUGGGGUCCCACCAGCCCAAACAUCCAGCCAACAUUACCUUCCUCAAGAGACUGGAAGUCACAGCAGGGAUCAAAGUCACAAGGGAUUCAAGGAAAACACCAGCUUAUUUAACAGCUAGGAAGCCUAUCAUUAAGGAUGGCAAAGCUGUAGUGAAGCUGAGAACUGUACCUUCAUUUUUGUGUUCCAGGUCACCUUUUCAUUGGCUAAACUCCAGCCUUCUUUCUUAAACUGCAAUGGGCAUCAGUUUAAGAUGGGAAAAUUUGGUAAAUUAUGGACGGAAGAGCAGCAGUGUGAUUUGCCAUGAAUCCAGGCACCUGCAAGGUAUCAAAGCCAAAGGCAUCAUAUUUUUGGAAAAUGAGACGGAGGUUGUCAAGCAAGGAGGCAGCAGCAUGAGCUGUUUAAUUCCUGCUGAUUUCCCCAGCACUGUGUCCAAGGAGGAUGUCACACUUUUCUGUUCUCUGGUUCAACCUUAUCUCUGAGAGCAUCAGCAAGUCUCACCUCUUCUCAAAGAGUACUCUCCUGUGAUUUAUUUAUAAUCUCCUGCUGCUUCUUGUAAGUAGAGUUUCACUCCCCUUCCUUUGCCCUGCUUCACAUCAUUAUAUUCCACUGAUACACUGCUGCUUCACGUAUGAACCUUUCAGCAGCCUGUUUUCUUCCAGCUGCAAGACAUGCUAAAAUCAAAGGAGACCACUCAGAGGAAUGGGAAGGAAUUUAGGGACAAUAAUAAUAUUUAAUGUGUAGAUUCACAGAGGCUCAGCACAUAUCAAACAUCCCAGCUAAGCUCAUGUCCUUUCAGGUUCACUAAAAUUGAUAGGUUGGUCUUUUACACGCAUUAAUUCUGAGCGUUUUUCAGCUAUCCCUACAAGUUCAUUUCUGCCUAUCAUUUUUGUUGUGUCAGGGCAUUAUUUGUUACCUGUUCAGUUUAAGAAAUACAUGGAAUAUAACAUGUUUUAAAAGACUGUAAGACUGUUGCCUUUGUCUGAAUUGCAGGAUGUGUCUGUUGUAUAUCUCAGGUGCACAGGUACAUUUGUCUCUGUGUAACAUGAAAAUACUUCACAAACGCCUUGAAAGUCCUACUGCCCUAUUCUUUAAAAAUCUUACAUUUAUUUUGAAGUACAGAGCAUAGUUAAACAAUAAAUAAGGGAAAAUCCUUGAAAUGCCUGAGGCACUUGCAAGACACAUUACUUAAGAAUGUAAUCUCAAUUAAAACAUGUAAUCCCUUUGAUUACCAGUUUUGCCUUAAGUAUACUUAGGUGUGCUGCACAGUUCUAAAUGAACACUGUUUUUUUUGUGAAACAAUAUUUAUUCUUUUUAGUAAAGUUUUUAGGAGUCUUGCUCAAACUUAAAAAUUACUAAAGGGAUAAAUGUAAUGAAUAAUUUUGAGUUUACCUGGACUUUUAUCUGCAGCGUAAAAUAAAGGCUAUGGAGCCACAGCCCUCAACAAGGCAAAUAAUCUUCCUAGGAUACUCGUGAUCUGCCAUGGCUAUAUUGAACCAGUUAUCAGUUUAAUCUGUAAUGUUACCCUCCAGGCAGUGAAUUGCUUGGUAACUAAGUUCUGUGUAUCCAACAGAAUGAUUUUAGAAUCCCUGCAAAGCAGCACAGAGCAAGGCACCAGGAAGUUUUCAGUCAUCAUCUGAUUCUGUCUGCCCAAACUGGCUAAAACAAGUGCUACCUUAAAGGGGUUUUUUUCCAUUCAAAGAUUUUGCUGUCUACAAAAGAAGGGUGAAAGCUCUGAGUUUCAGCUCUACAUUCAGACAUUCCUACUAGCUUGGGCCUGGCUUGAUUCAAUUCAUGUGUUUGACUCUUUGUACGCCACUGUCUGAGCUGCCAUAAUCUUUAAAGCCCCAGGAGAUACGCCGAGAUGUGGAUUAAAAUUUUCACAAUGCAAGGGUUUAGAUUUGAGUCUUUUUCAAGGCUUUAUCUGCUGCCUUUGCAUAGUAUGGAAAAACUUUCAGCAAAAUCUGGAAGCUAAAAUACAGACACUGGGACAGUGAUUUCUUUUCCUUUUUCAGAGAAGUUUCUUUAAGUAGAGGGAAAAUUAGGUCAUAUUUUGAUUUCUCUUGGCUGGCUUAUCUCCAAGAUGGCCUGCACCCAGUUUCUUCUAAACAUUUCACUUCUCAGAAGAAUAAUAUCUCAUGUCAGAAUGAUAAAGAGUCAUGUCAAGAAGUACUGCAGAA